CCGCCUGAACGUCUAUCGUCGUUCUCGUAAUGAAAAGGUCAAGAGUUCGAUUCUCUUAGGCGGCUCCA
rnacentral:tRNA from 9 species